rnacentral:rRNA from 1 species
CCUACGGGCGGCAGCAGUGGGGAAUAUUGCACAAUGGGCGCAAGCCUGAUGCAGCCAUGCCGCGUGUGUGAAGAAGGCCUUCGGGUUGUAAAGCACUUUCAGCGGGGAGGAAGGCGUUAAGGUUAAUAACCUUGGCGAUUGACGUUACCCGCAGAAGAAGCACCGGCUAACUCCGUGCCAGCAGCCGCGGUAAUACGGAGGGUGCAAGCGUUAAUCGGAAUUACUGGGCGUAAAGCGCACGCAGGCGGUCUGUCAAGUCGGAUGUGAAAUCCCCGGGCUCAACCUGGGAACUGCAUUCGAAACUGGCAGGCUAGAGUCUUGUAGAGGGGGGUAGAAUUCCAGGUGUAGCGGUGAAAUGCGUAGAGAUCUGGAGGAAUACCGGUGGCGAAGGCGGCCCCCUGGACAAAGACUGACGCUCAGGGGCGAAAGCGUGGGGAGCAAACAGGAGUAGAUACCCUUGUAGUC